AUACGGAGGAUCCGAGCGUUAUCCGGAUUUAUUGGGUUUAAAGGGUGCGCAGGCGGGAGAUUAAGUCGGCGGUGAAAUUUUGCAGCUCAACUGGAAAAGUGCCUUCGAAACUGGUUUCCUUGAGUGUAGAUGAAGUAGGCGGAAUUUGUGGUGUAGCGGUGAAAUGCAUAGAUAUCACGAGGAACUCCGAUUGCGCAGGCAGCUUACUAAACUACUACUGACGCCCAGGCACGAAGGCGUGGGGAUCAAACAGGAUUAGAUACCCUGGUAGUCCACGCAGUAAACGAUGAUUACUAGCUGUUUGCGAUACAAUGUAAGCGGCUGAGCGAAAGCGUUAAGUAAUCCACCUGGGGAGUACGUUCGCAAGAAUGAAACUCAAAUGAAUUGACGGGG
rnacentral:rRNA from 1 species